rnacentral:lncRNA from 1 species
AUGUUUUUCUCAUGGAGGAUCACAGCUGUCAAGAAGACAAGCCCAACAUUCAGGUUUAUGUCAUGGCUGUUGACAUCAUUUAAAGCAAUCUAUGUGGCCAAGCGCAGAUCAGAAGGAGGGACUCUCUUCAUUCACUCUAAGGCUAUGACAGAGCCUCUCUCUUGUGCUCUGCAGUCUUCCACCCACGGUGAAAUCCAGCAAAUCCACAGCAAGCUGUAUACAUUGUCAUUGAGCUUUUCCAACAAAGCAUUCGGUGGACAAAAGAAAGAUGAUGCCACCAGGAGGUUGUUGCUGUUAUUUUUCUACUUGUUUGGAUAUUUUGCCCUUUGCAACAUCAUCUCAGAGAGCAUGGGCAGCUUGGAACUACAGUGGGCUCAUGAAGAAUUGGAGCCAGUGCCUAGACACCCCAGCUUCCCUGUCACUCAGUGCAGCAAAGUCCCAGAAAAACUGGAUGUCAAAAAUGUGCUCAUGUACACAUCCUCAUUGGCCUCCUUUCUUUCCCUCCCUCCCCACUCACAGAAAUUCCUGGGGUCUUGUAUCCCAAGAAUGGACUGCUUGCCCAUACCCUUUCCUCAGGGUCACCUUUUUGGAGCAAUCCCAACUAAGGUUAUGAGCAGAAAAAGCUGA